UUUUAAACCUGAUUGAAAUGUAAAUCUUUUUUGCAGGUGUCAUCCUUGAACCUGUCGAAGGAUUGUUGCUAAUAGAUGCUUCGAUAAACUCAGCAUGACAAUGAUGAAAAGGCAAUGCCAGCAAAAAAAUUGAAAUGUAAAGCAGGGCUAACG
rnacentral:sRNA from 1 species